AAGGGUGUGGCUGCCUAGUGGAAUAGGUUUUCUUUAACAUCGGCCAUCACCAUUCUAUUGUACGUUUAGUUCAGUUCUAAGUAGGUAGUUGUGUUUGUAUUUUAAUUUUACUGGUAUAUACUAACAUAUUUAGUCAGUUGUUAAUAGUGUACAUGUGAAUAGAAUAAAAAUACUUUAACAAAGUAAAGUGGGGAUCUUGUCCAUUGCUAUUAUUAACUGAGUGGCUGCGGGCUGAUUCAGUUGUGUUUGUUGUUUCUGCCACAGAAUUGGACAGGUUGUAUGAGAGGUGUGGUUAAAUUGAAUAGUUUUAUAAUUGGGAGUUUAGUGUGAUCAAUGGUACUACAGCAAUUACCUAUGAAUUAAAUGCAGAAGCUGCAAGAAGCCGAUUUACCUAGAAGAGUUGGAGUUGAGGAGCAUUUAAUACAUUUUCGUUCGUCUGAAAAUUUUAAAAAUAUGAAGAAAUAUAUAAGGUUAAAUAGAGACCCUACUGACAUUGGAGACACAGCGAGUACCCAAGUAGAACCAAAGCAAGAACCAAAACCUGCUGCUCCCCCUGUACAAGUGAAAAAACCAGAAAUUCAACCCCCUCUGCCCUUAGAGCCACCGCCUCCUGAUAACUUCUUUAAUGUUGAAAUCAAGAAGGAAAUAGAAGACACUGAAUAUAAUUUGAGCUUGCAGCCAGAAGGCCUAUCCAACCCUGCGGCUUUGGGACAGACCGAUGUAAAGCCACAGACUGAUGUUAAACCAAAGCAAGAUGUAUGUCGUGAUUUCAUCAGGGGAACCUGCAAACGUGUAGGGACUUGUAAGUUUUCUCACACUUACGAUAAUUUCACAGAUUUAGUAGGAGUGUAUACCUUUUGUCGAGAUUUUCAAACAAAAAAAUGUACAUAUGUUAACUGUAAAUAUGUACAUGCAACAGUCUUUGAAGAGCAGAACUUCUAUAGAACUCGCUAUUUGCCACCACAUGCAUUUGCCCAUCAUAAAAAAACUGUGGCUAUAUCAACAACAGUUCCACCUCCUGUUCAGGUGGCUCCGCCACCUCCCCCUCCUCCCCCUCCACCAGUGGAAGAAAAUCAGUUUCUAUUUAUGCAACCACCCCCAACAAUACCGCGAGAAUUAGAUAGAUCAUUCUCCACAAUACAAUCGCUCCAAGAUAUACAAAAUACUGUAACAUCACCAUUAAAACGAUCUUGGAGUGCUGUUGAACAAUGUGCCAGUCUAUUAGAACAAGAUAGUUCUGAGUUACUCCCUAAAAAGUGCAAGAACUGCGAUAUAACAGAGUUCCGUCUUCAGCACACAACAAAUAAUUUGCAAAAAAUGAUCUUAAAUAUUGAGGCUCUUGAAAUCAAAUUAUCACAUCUUGAUAAAAAGUGCAAUAUGGUUGAUUCACUGAUACUGAAAGCAUUGAAGCCAUCUCCUCCACAUUCUCCAACAUUACCUCAUUUGUCGCAAAACUUGUACAGUACACCUUAUAGUAGAGAAAUGUCUCAACUUGAACAACUUGCAGCUCUGUUGAAUACAAAAUAAAGACUCAGUACACAUUUUUUUUUUAUAUGAGAGGGGACAAAUGGGCAAGAGGCUCACGGGAUGGAGAGAGGUGAGGCAACCGCCUAUGGACAUCUGCAACAACAGGUGUAUCAAGAAAUGCGUUGCCGGCCUUUAAGGUGGGAGUAUGCUUUUUUCUUGAAGGUCCCUAAGUCGUAUCUGUUCGGGAAGACCGCUGCUGGUAGUUGAUUCCACAAAGUGGCUGUGCGAGGCAAGAAAUUUCGAACAAAACGCGCUGUUGUGGAAUGCCAGACGUCUACGUGAUGCGGAUGGUACUUUGUACGUAAUGUCCGGUGGUGGAAUUCGGCCGCUGGAAUCAACCCGAACAGGUCCUCUGAGCACUUCCCGUGAUAAAUGCGGUAGAAGAUGCAGAGAGAACCCACAUCUCUACGUGUGUGUUUUCUUUGCAUCUUCUAUCGUAUAUGAGGAGUAGUCAGAGAAGUUGUUAAGGUUGAUACCAACAGCCGAGUUCAUUAAGACGGACUAAAAUCCACCGGCAUCAUAUUGAGGUCUGGCACUCUACAACAGCACGUUUUGCGAGAAACUUUUUCACUCUUGACGGCUGCAGUUCUCCAGGACCGAUACGACUUCGGGACCGUCAAGAUUAGAGUAUACUCCCAUCUUAAAGGCCAGCAACGCAUCUAUGGACCUCUGGUGUCGCGGAUGUCCAAGGGCGGCUACUUUCCAUAACGAGAGCCUCUUGCCCAAUCUUAUAUUAAAAAAAACUAUAUUGCUUAUUGACACAGAAACAAGUAAUCUUCGAGUUUAUGUAAACAUUAUUUGUUUAUCGCAGCUGAUUACAGUUUAUUAUUAUAAUACAAUUACUGACAAUAAGUCUCUAAACAAAGCAAAUGUCACAGUUUAUCGUGCAUUAAAACUUUCUUGUUUGUUUAUUUAUACCAGUAUUCAUCCAAUUAAAUAUCACUAUUGUAAUUCGACUAAAAACUUGAAACGAUAAAAAAGUUUUUGGUUUUAUGAAAUCAUGCGGGUAGUUUUGAAGUUUCUUGAAGACGAUAAAUAAAAAUGAAGGCCGUAGUUUUUGAUGGAGAGAAACUUUCACUUAAAUAUGAUGAAAAGUAUCCAAUGCCGAAAAUUCUGAACGACGAAGAUGUGAUUGUAAAAGUGGAGUAUUCAGGAGUGUGUGGCACUGACCUUCAUAUCAUACAGGGCGAGUUUCCCGCUAGAAAAGACCGUCCACUACCUCUGGGACAUGAGUUUAGUGGAAUAGUACAUGAAGUUGGGAAUAAGUCCAUCUUCAAGAAGGGCCAGAAAGUGGUCGUGGACCCAAACAGGGCUUGCAAUUUAUGUAAUUUCUGCCGUGGUGGUAACUACCAGUACUGCUUGAGGGCUGGAAUCAACAGCACCAUUGGUAUUUGGAACGAUGGAGGCUGGGCGCAGUAUGUGCGAUGCCCACAGGACCAGGUCUACGCAUUACCGGAUGG